rnacentral:rRNA from 1 species
CCUACGGGCGGCAGCAGUGAGGAAUAUUGGUCAAUGGACGAGAGUCUGAACCAGCCAAGUAGCGUGAAGGAUGACUGCCCUAUGGGUUGUAAACUUCUUUUAUAUGGGAAUAAAAUGUUGCACGUGUGGGAUUUUGUAUGUACCAUAUGAAUAAGGAUCGGCUAACUCCGUGCCAGCAGCCGCGGUAAUACGGAGGAUCCGAGCGUUAUCCGGAUUUAUUGGGUUUAAAGGGAGCGUAGGUGGAUUGUUAAGUCAGUUGUGAAAGUUUGCGGCUCAACCGUAAAAUUGCAGUUGAAACUGGCAGUCUUGAGUACAGUAGAGGUGGGCGGAAUUCGUGGUGUAGCGGUGAAAUGCUUAGAUAUCACGAAGAACUCCGAUUGCGAAGGCAGUUCACUGGACUGCAACUGACACUGAGGCUCGAAAGUGUGGGUAUCAAACAGGAUUAGAUACCCUAGUAGUC